UAGCCCUUCCACGUGUACAGUGGACGUGGGGUCAGGAAGUGCCUUCUGCAGCACCCCAAAGCCUUCUCCUCACAGCAGGAUUGGAUGCUCUACUCGUGACCCCGGUCGGGACCGUCAGUGAGUCUCAGCGGUCAAGCAGCAGGCCCGACAUGCGCUUUGCAGCACACUCACGUUCACAGGGCUAGGCUAUGAUAUGCACGCGGUUCAGACGCCAGGUACCUCCAGAGCGUAGCCCAGGGCUGAGCGUGGCCU